GACGAACGCUGGCGGCGUGCUUAACACAUGCAAGUCGAACGGAAAGGCCCUGCUUUUGUGGGGUGCUCGAGUGGCGAACGGGUGAGUAACACGUGAGUAACCUGCCCUUGACUUUGGGAUAACUUCAGGAAACUGGGGCUAAUACCGGAUAGGAGCUCCUGCUGCAUGGUGGGGGUUGGAAAGUUUCGGCGGUUGGGGAUGGACUCGCGGCUUAUCAGCUUGUUGGUGGGGUAGUGGCUUACCAAGGCUUUGACGGGUAGCCGGCCUGAGAGGGUGACCGGGCAAAUGGGAACAGGGAAGGGGCCAGGAGUCCACGGGGGGGAAGGGGGGGAGAAAUUACGGAAAGGGGCGGAGGCCUGAUGGACGAACCCCGGGGGGGGAAAGGCGGCCUUGGGGUUGAAACCCGCUUGCCCCGGAGACGAAGGGUAGGGAAGGGAAAGGGGAAAAAAGACACGGCUAAAUAAGGG
rnacentral:rRNA from 1 species